rnacentral:lncRNA from 1 species
GUGGAAAUAAAUUGACGUGUCUCACGUGUAAGAAAUGACAUCCUGGGAGGUAGAACCAAACCAUGGUAUGCAGUUGGUCAGUCUUUCCCUGGACUCAAGCCCAGGAUUCAUUGGGGUUGAGCCUCCAUAUGAACCCAACACAGUUCUAUCUCCAAGAGCCAGGGAAACCUGUUGCUACUGAAGUAAAAGUCUGUUAUUGGCUGCUUAAAAAUAUUCUGAAAUCUGUUCUUUCUCCUUUAUGAAUUUACCUUUGAAUCUGCCUAAGUGUAGGGAUCAAUGAGCGUAUAUUGAAAAGUGUAUCAUUUUCUAAAUUUAUGAUUUUAUGGAAUACUACAAAAAAGGUAGUAACAACCAAAUGAAAAAGUUAAGAUCAAGUUUACAGUGUAUAUGUAUUAAAAUAUGCUGCAUAUUAAGCUUUCAGGACCCUAGAACAUAACUUAUUUUAUUGAUAAAAUAAUUACCUUCUGCCACAAUUAUCCUCUGUCUUAACGUUUUUCAGGAUUGUGGAAAAAUAUAUUUCAGUAUGUUAGAGAAUAAACAACAAAUGUGUGUUGAGGUACAUGUAUAUGAAUUUCCUUCCAGAUUGAUUAAUCUCUUUGACAGAGAUGCUACUCAACAGUGUUCCAUUGCAUUGUAUUAAUUUAUUGUGCACUCACUGAAGCCACACUAAAUUAUUUCUAAUAUCAUAGAUACGUGUGUAAAGUAAUAUAGUAUGCAGGUUGCAUAAUAUCCAACUUCGAUAAAUCUGUGAACCAGUAACUUGUAAUGAGUCAAUUUGAGGACGAUAUUAAGAUUAACAUAAGCAUUGAUUCUGAAUAAUUUUCUUUUUUUAAAAAAUUGAAGUGUAAUUGAUUUUACAAGAUUAUGUUAU